rnacentral:lncRNA from 1 species
AAGCUGGUUUGAUUUACUAGCAGAGCCAACAGAAUUGCUGCGCGUGAACUCUGCAGAGACUGAAAGGGAGAGAUGAGCCUUGGAAAGGUCAUCCACCAAAGUGGUCUGCGACAUCAAAAAAUUGAAAAUUAGUGUGUAGCUGCAGCUAAUGGACCUUAAUACAUCUUGAAUUGUCCUACCGGGAGCAGGAAACAGUUGCAGAGGAUGGAUGAGAGUGAAGAUCCAGUCUGGUCAUGGCGAUGGAGGUUGGGUCAAGUUCUUUACAUUUAGUGCGUUGUCUCCAGGUAAGGAGAACUUAAAGGAAGAAUUGCUAUUGGGGAGCACCAGGCAUAGUUUUUUUCUGGUUAACAACCUCUUACGGACCACAGAUUGCCUCCGUGUGAGGUGGAAAUCCGUGUCUGAAAUCUGGUAUAGGCUAUCUUUAUUUCUGUUUCAUGGUACAGGUCUUCCCAGCUCCAGCUGGAAUAGCUGUUAUGUCAUUAGGUGGUGCCAGUCGCGUCAGCAGCCUGGUUUGCUCGUCCGCGUUUGUGUUCUGGCUCAGCUGCCUGCCGACCUCCGUGAUGAACAGCAGACUUUCAGCACAUACAAAUGGCCAGCCGUUAUGCUCCCUUUAAAUGGCUUUCAGAUAAAUACAAAGGGAGGAGAUAAAUGA